UACGUAGGGUCCGAGCGUUGUCCGGAAUUACUGGGCGUAAGGAGCUCGUAGGUGGUUUGUCACGUCGUCUGUGAAAUUCCGGGGCUUAACCUCGGGCGUGCAGGCGAUACGGGCAAUACUUGAGUGCUGUAGGGGAGACUGGAAUUCCUGGUGUAGCGGUGAAAUGCGCAGAUAUCAGGAGGAACACCAAUGGCGAAGGCAGGUCUCUGGGCAGUUACUGACGCUGAGGAGCGAAAGCAUGGGUAGCGAACAGGAUUAGAUACCCCGGUA
rnacentral:rRNA from 1 species